GAGUUUGAUCUUGGCUCAGAAUGAACGCUGGCGGCAUGCCUAACACAUGCAAGUCGAACGAAGGCUUCGGCCUUAGUGGCGCACGGGUGCGUAACGCGUGGGAAUCUGCCCUUGGGUUCGGAAUAACUCACCGAAAGGUGUGCUAAUACCGGAUGAUGUCGUAAGACCAAAGAUUUAUCGCCCAAGGAUGAGCCCGCGUAGGAUUAGCUAGUUGGUGAGGUAAAGGCUCACCAAGGCGACGAUCCUUAGCUGGUCUGAGAGGAUGAUCAGCCACACUGGGACUGAGACACGGCCCAGACUCCUACGGGAGGCAGCAGUGGGGAAUAUUGGACAAUGGGCGAAAGCCUGAUCCAGCAAUGCCGCGUGAGUGAUGAAGGCCUUAGGGUUGUAAAGCUCUUUUACCCGGGAUGAUAAUGACAGUACCGGGAGAAUAAGCUCCGGCUAACUUCGUGCCAGCCGCCGCCGU
rnacentral:rRNA from 1 species